rnacentral:rRNA from 1 species
GACGAACGCUGGCGGCGUGCUUAACACAUGCAAGUCGAACGGAAAGGCCUGCUUUCCCUUGUGGAUUUCGGGUACUCGAGUGGCGAACGGGUGAGUAACACGUGAGUGAUCUGCCCCCAACUUGGGUAUAAGCCUGGGAAACUGGGUCUAAUUCCCGAUAGGACUGCAGGGUGGUGCCUGUGGUGGAAAACGAUUUUCUAGUGGUUGGGGAUGAGCUCGCGGCCUAUCAGCUUGUUGGUGGGGUAAUGGCCUACCAAGGCGGCGACGGGUAGCCGGCCUGAGAGGGUGGACGGCCACAUUGGGACUGAGAUACGGCCCAGACUGCUACGGGAGGCAGCAGUGGGGAAUAUUGCACAAUGGGCGGAAGCGUGAUGCAGCGACGCCGCGUGGGGGAUGACGGCCUUCGAGUUGUAAACUCCUUUCGACCGCGAGGAAGCCACCUGGUUGGAAGGGUGGUGACGGUAGUGGUAGAAGAAGCACCGGCUAACUACGUG